AUACGGAAGGUCCGGGCGUUAUCCGGAUUUAUUGGGUUUAAAGGGAGCGCAGACGGCCUGUUAAGCGUGCAGUGAAAUGCGGGUGCUCAACAUCUGCACUGCUGCGUGAACUGGCGGGCUUGAGUUUGCUGGAGGUGCGCGGGAUUCGUGGUGUAGCGGGGAAAUGCUUAGAUAUCACGAAGAACCCCGAUUGCGAAGGCAGCGCACCGUGGACAUACUGACGUUGAGGCUCGAAGGUGCGGGUAUCGAACAGGAUUAGAUACCCUGGUAGUCCGCACGGUAAACGAUGGAUGCCCGCUGUAUGCGAUACAAUGUAUGCGGCCAAGCGAAAGCGUUAAGCAUCCCACCUGGGGAGUACGCCGGCAACGGUGAAACUCAAAGGAAUUGACGGGG
rnacentral:rRNA from 1 species